rnacentral:rRNA from 1 species
GACGAACGCUGGCGGCGUGCCUAAUACAUGCAAGUCGAACGCAGUGGGGACGGGUGAGUAACACGUGGGUAACCUCCCAUCAGAGGGGAUAACACUUGGAAACAGGUGCUAAACCGAUACUGAUGGAUGGACCCGCGGUGCAUUGGCUAGUUGGUGAGGUAACGGCGCACCAAGGCCACGAUGCAUAGCCGACCUGAGAGGGUGAUCGGCCACACUUGGAAUGCGACACGGACCAGGCUCCUACGAGAGGCGGCAGGAGGGAAUGUGCGGCAAUGGACGAAAGUCUGACCGAGCAACGGCGCGUGAGUUAGGAAGGUUUUCGGAUCGUAAAACUCUGUUGUUAGAGAAGCGGUAUCUAACCAGAAAGCCACGGCUAACUACGUGCCAGCAGCCGCGGUAAUUC